rnacentral:rRNA from 1 species
AUUAGAUACCCCGGUAGUCCCAGCCGUAAACUAUGCGCGUUAGGUGUAUCGGUGACCACGAGUUACCGAGGUGCCGAAGGGAAACCGUGAAACGUGCCGCCUGGGAAGUACGGUCGCAAGGCUGAAACUUAAAGGAAUUGGCGGGGGAGCACCACAACAGGUGGAGCCUGCGGUUUAAUUGGACUCAACGCCGGGAAGCUCACCGGAUAAGACAGCAGAAUGAUUGCCGGGCUGAAGACUCUGCAUGACUAGCUGAGAGGAGGUGCAUGGC